CCCGCACAAGCGGUGAGCAUGUGGUUUAAUUCGAUGCAACGCGAAGAACCUUACCUGGGCUUGACAUCCCGAGAAUCCCCUGGGAAACAGGGGAGUGCCUUUCGGGGAACUCGGAGACAGGUGCUGCAUGGCUGUCGUCAGCUCGUGUCGUGAGAUGUUGGGUUAAGUCCCGCAACGAGCGCAACCCUUGUCUUUAAUUGCCAGCAUUCAGUUGGGCACUUUAAAGAGACUGCCGGUGUUAAGCCGGAGGAAGGUGGGGAUGACGUCAAGUCCUCAUGGCCUUUAUGCCCAGGGCUACACACGUGCUACAAUGGGUGGUACAAAGAGAUGCCAACUCGCGAGAGCGCGCCAAUCUCAGAAAGCCAUCCUCAGUUCGGAUUGGAGUCUGCAACUCGACUCCAUGAAGUUGGAAUCGCUAGUAAUCGCGGAUCAGCACGCCGCGGUGAAUACGUUCCCGGGCCUU
rnacentral:rRNA from 1 species